AUUGAACGCUGGCGGCAGGCUUAACACAUGCAAGUCGAGCGGAGCGAGGGUGCUUGCACCUUAGCUUAGCGGCGGACGGGUGAGUAAUGCUUAGGAAUCUGCCUAUUAGUGGGGGACGACAUUCCGAAAGGAAUGCUAAUACCGCAUACGCCCUACGGGGGAAAGCAGGGGAUCUUCGGACCUUGCGCUAAUAGAUGAGCCUAAGUCGGAUUAGCUAGUUGGUGGGGUAAAGGCCUACCAAGGCGACGCUCUGUAGCGGGUCUGAGAGGAUGAUCCGCCACACUGGGACUGAGACACGGCCCAGACUCCUACGGGAGGCAGCAGUGGGGAAUAUUGGACAAUGGGGGGAACCCUGAUCCAGCCAUGCCGCGUGUGUGAAGAAGGCCUUUUGGUUGUAAAGCACUUUAAGCGAGGAGGAGGCUACUAGUAUUAAUACUACUGGAUAGUGGACGUUACUCGCAGAAUAAGCACCGGCUAACUCUGUGCCAGCCGCCGCAGUAAGAC
rnacentral:rRNA from 1 species